rnacentral:rRNA from 1 species
CCGCCCCCCUCCCCGGGGGGGUGGCCAGCGCCCGCCAGAGGACCAUCAAACUCCAGUCAGUAAACGAUGCAGUCUGAAAAACAUUUAAUAAACUAAAACUUUCAACAACGGAUCUCUUGGUUCUGGCAUCGAUGAAGAACGCAGCGAAAUGCGAUAAGUAAUGUGAAUUGCAGAAUUCAGUGAAUCAUCGAAUCUUUGAACGCACAUUGCGCCCUUUGGUAUUCCGAAGGGCAUGCCUGUUCGAGCGUCAUUACAACCCUCAAGCUCUGCUUGGUAUUGGGCACCGUCCUUUGCGGGCGCGCCUCAAAGACCUCGGCGGUGGCGUCUUGCCUCAAGCGUAGUAGAACAUACAUCUCGCUUCGGAGCGCAGGGCGUCGCCCGCCGGACGAACCUUCUGAACUUUUCUCAAGGUGACCUCGAUCAGGUAGGAACCGCGGCUUUAUAUC